AGCUUUAUAGUCAAGAAUGAUUUUAAAUUGCAAAUUUAAAGGUGGGGCAAUCCCUUAAGCUU
rnacentral:tRNA from 1 species